rnacentral:rRNA from 1 species
UACGGAGGGUGCAAGCGUUGUCCGGAAUCACUGGGCGUAAAGGGCGCGUAGGCGGCUCGGUAAGUAGGGGGUGAAAUCCUGCGGCUCAACCGCAGGGCUGCCUUCUAAACUGUCGAGCUCGAGCACGGUAGAGGCAGAUGGAAUUCCCGGUGUAGCGGUGGAAUGCGUAGAGAUCGGGAAGAACAUCAGUGGCGAAGGCGGUCUGCUGGGCCGCUGCUGACGCUGAGGCGCGGACAGCGUGGGGAGCAACAGG